rnacentral:rRNA from 1 species
CCUACGGGAGGCAGCAGUGGGGAAUAUUGGGCAAUGGAGGCAACUCUGACCCAGCAACGCCGCGUGGGUGAUGGAGGUCUUCGGAUUGUAAAACUCUUUAAGUGGGGACGAAGAAGGUGACUGUACCCACAGAAUAAGCCUCGGCUAACUGCGUGCCAGCAGCCGCGGUAAUACGUAGGAGGCAAGCGUUAUCCGGAAUGACUGGGUGUAAAGGGGGCGAAGGGGGUUUGACAAGUCAGUAGCGUAAUUCCGGGGCUCAACUUCGGAACGACUACUAAAACUGUUGGGCUUGAGUGCAGGGGAGGCGAAGGGAAUUCCUAGUGUAGCGGUGGAAUGCGUAGAUAUUAGGAGGAACACCAGCGGCGAAAGCGAUUCACUGGACUGUAACUGACACUGAGGCACGAAAGCGUGGGGAGCAAACAGGAUUAGAUACCCGGGUAGUC